rnacentral:piRNA from 1 species
UAAGAGAAUCAGUGUUGCUCUGAGGAC